AACACUACAAACACAGAUUUAGGUCUUUUCUUUUGUGUUCAAAGUGGUACACCACUGCAGUUCAGCAAUGGCACCAAGUUAUAUGUCACAGAACAUUUCCCAGAAAACCACAGUGAGACGCUAUCAACAGAAAGACCAAAUGCUGAGGUCACACUAUGGUCAAACCACAUUAAAUGGCAAGCGCUGAGCGUUAUGUCCUUCGUCAUAAACUGUGUUUUGUUCAUCACAGUUGUAGUGCUGACGAAUAAACUCGCCAGCCAUGAAAGAUACAGAGGUCCAACUGUUCUAUGACAUUAAAUGCUGGUAACCCUAAGGUAUGAUGUUCUACUAAAUGUACUGAAAUAACGGUUUGAGGGUAGCAGAAUGAAUAGAAAAUCUCGAUGA